rnacentral:rRNA from 1 species
AAUAUUGGACAAUGGGGGCAACCUUGAUCCAGCCAUGCCGCGUGUGUGAAGAAGGUCUUCGGUUUGUAAAGUCCUUUAAGUUGGGAGGAAGGGCUUUAGGCUAACACCCUGAAGCUUUGACGUUACCAACAGAAUGCCCACCGGCUAACUCUGUUCCAGCAGCCGCGGUAAUACAGCGGGUGCAAGCGUUAAUCGGAAUUACUGGGCGUAAAGCGCGCGUAGGUGGUUCAGUAAGAUGGGUGUGAAAUCCCCGGGCUUAACCUGGGAACUGCUUUCAUAACUGCUGAGCUAGAGUACGGUAGAGGGUAGUGGAAUUUCCUGUGUAGCGGUGAAAUGCGUAGAUAUAGGAAGGAACACCAGUGGCGAAGGCGACUACCUGGACUGAUACUGACACUGAGGUGCGAAAGCGUGGGGAGCAAACAGG